rnacentral:rRNA from 1 species
UACAGAGGUCCCAAGCGUUGUUCGGAUUCACUGGGCGUAAAGGGUGCGUAGGUGGCGGGGUAAGUUUGAUGUGAAAGCUCGGAGCUUAACUCCGAAACGGCAUUGAAUACUAUUCUGCUUGAGGGUCGGAGGGGAGACUGGAAUUCUCGGUGUAGCAGUGAAAUGCGUAGAUAUCGAGAGGAACACCAGUGGCGAAGGUGAGUCUCUGGACGACACCUGUCACUGAGGCACGAAAGCUAGGGGAGCAAACAGG